rnacentral:rRNA from 1 species
AUUGAACGCUGGCGGCAGGCCUAACACAUGCAAGUCGAGCGGGGUUUUCGGACCUAGCGGCGGACGGGAGAGUAAUGCGUAGGAAGCUACCCGAUAGAGGGGGAUACCAGUUGGAAACGACUGUUAAUACCGCAUAAUGUCUACGGACCAAAGUGUGGGACCUUCGGGCCACAUGCUAUCGGAUGCGCCUGCGUGGGAUUAGCUAGUUGGUGAGGUAAUGGCUCACCAAGGCGACGAUCCCUAGAUGGUUUGAGAGGAUGAUCAGCAACACUGGAACUGUGAAACGGUGCAGACUCCUACGGGAGGCGGCAGGGGGGAAUAUUGUACAAGGGGCGCAGGCCUGAUCCAGCCAUGCCGCGUGUGUGAAGAAGGCAUUCGGGUUGUAAAGCACCUUCAGCGAGGAGGAAGGGGUGAGUGUUAAUAGUACUCAGCUUUGACGGUACUCGCAGAAGAAGCACCGGCUAACUCUGUGCCAGCCGCCGCAGUAACAC